GGUUGAAGUUCAGGUAACACUGAAUGGAGGACCGAACCGACUUACGUUGAAAAGUGAGCGGAUGAACUGAGGGUAGCGGAGAAAUUCCAAUCGAACCUGGAGAUAGCUGGUUCUCUCCGAAAUAGCUUUAGGGCUAGCCUCAAGUGAUGAUUAUUGGAGGUAGAGCACUGUUUGGACGAGGGGCCCCUCUCGGGUUACCGAAUUCAGACAAACUCCGAAUGCCAAUUAAUUUAACUUGGGAGUCAGAACAUGGGUGAUAAGGUCCGUGUUCGAAAGGGAAACAGCCCAGACCACCAGCUAAGGUCCCAAAAUAUAUGUUAAGUGGAAAAGGAUGUGGCGUUGCCCAGACAACUAGGAUGUUGGCUUAGAAGCAGCCAUCAUUUAAAGAGUGCGUAAUAGCUCACUAGUCGAGUGACACUGCGCCGAAAAUGUACCGGGGCUAAACAUAUUACCGAAGCUGUGGAUUGUCCUUUGGACAAUGGUAGGAGAGCGUUCUAAGGGCGUUGAAGCAUGAUCGUAAGGACAUGUGGAGCGCUUAGAAGUGAGAAUGCCGGUGUGAGUAGCGAAAGACGGGUGAGAAUCCCGUCCACCGAUUGACUAAGGUUUCCAGAGGAAGGCUCGUCCGCUCUGGGUUAGUCGGGUCCUAAGCUGAGGCCGACAGGCGUAGGCGAUGGAUAACAGGUUGAUAUUCCUGUACCACCUAUAAUCGUUUUAAUCGAUGGGGGGACGCAGUAGGAUAGGCGAAGCGUGCGAUUGGAUUGCACGUCUAAGCAGUAAGGCUGAGUAUUAGGCAAAUCCGGUACUCAUUAAGGCUGAGCUGUGAUGGGGAGAAGACAUUGUGUCUUCGAGUCGUUGAUUUCACACUGCCGAGAAAAGCCUCUAGAUAGAAAAUAGGUGCCCGUACCGCAAACCGACACAGGUAGUCAAGAUGAGAAUUCUAAGGUGAGCGAGCGAACUCUCGUUAAGGAACUCGGCAAAAUGACCCCGUAACUUCGGGAGAAGGGGUGCUCUUUAGGGUUAACGCCCAGAAGAGCCGCAGUGAAUAGGCCCAAGCGACUGUUUAUCAAAAACACAGGUCUCUGCUAAACCGUAAGGUGAUGUAUAGGGGCUGACGCCUGCCCGGUGCUGGAAGGUUAAGAGGAGUGGUUAGCUUCUGCGAAGCUACGAAUCGAAGCCCCAGUAAACGGCGGCCGUAACUAUAACGGUCCUAAGGUAGCGAAAUUCCUUGUCGGGUAAGUUCCGACCCGCACGAAAGGCGUAACGAUUUGGGCACUGUCUCAACGAGAGACUCGGUGAAAUCAUAGUACCUGUGAAGAUGCAGGUUACCCGCGACAGGACGGAAAGACCCCGUGGAGCUUUACUGUAGCCUGAUAUUGAAAUUCGGCACAGCUUGUACAGGAUAGGUAGGAGCCUUUGAAACGUGAGCGCUAGCUUACGUGGAGGCGCUGGUGGGAUACUACCCUAGCUGUGUUGGCUUUCUAACCCGCACCACUUAUCGUGGUGGGAGACAGUGUCAGGCGGGCAGUUUGACUGGGGCGGUCGCCUCCUAAAAGGUAACGGAGGCGCUCAAAGGUUCCCUCAGAAUGGUUGGAAAUCAUUCAUAGAGUGUAAAGGCAUAAGGGAGCUUGACUGCGAGACCUACAAGUCGAGCAGGGUCGAAAGACGGACUUAGUGAUCCGGUGGUUCCGCAUGGAAGGGCCAUCGCUCAACGGAUAAAAGCUACCCCGGGGAUAACAGGCUUAUCUCCCCCAAGAGUUCACAUCGACGGGGAGGUUUGGCACCUCGAUGUCGGCUCAUCGCAUCCUGGGGCUGUAGUCGGUCCCAAGGGUUGGGCUGUUCGCCCAUUAAAGCGGUACGCGAGCUGGGUUCAGAACGUCGUGAGACAGUUCGGUCCCUAUCCGUCGUGGGCGUAGGAAAUUUGAGAGGAGCUGUCCUUAGUACGAGAGGACCGGGAUGGACAUACCUCUGGUGUACCAGUUGUCGUGCCAACGGCAUAGCUGGGUAGCUAUGUGUGGACGGGAUAAGUGCUGAAAGCAUCUAAGCAUGAAGCCCCCCUCAAGAUGAGAUUUCCCAACUUCGGUUAUAAGAUCCCUCAAAGAUGAUGAGGUUAAUAGGUUCGAGGUGGAAGCAUGGUGACAUGUGGAGCUGACGAAUACUAA
rnacentral:rRNA from 1 species